rnacentral:rRNA from 1 species
UACGUAGGGUGCGAGCGUUGUCCGGAAUUAUUGGGCGUAAAGAGCUCGUAGGCGGUGUGUCACGUCGGCCGUGAAAACCUGCAGCUUAACUGUGGGCGUGCGGUCGAUACGGGCAUCACUGGAGUUCGGCAGGGGAGACUGGAAUUCCUGGUGUAGCGGUGAAAUGCGCAGAUAUCAGGAGGAACACCGGUAGUCGGCGAAAGGCACCGGUCGGUCCUCGGGCCGACUGACGUGACCGC